AAAUUACAUGCAAGUCGAACGAACUCUGGUAUUGAUUGGUGCUUGCAUCAUGAUUUACAUUUGAGUGAGUGGCGAACUGGUGAGUAACACGUGGGAAACCUGCCCAGAAGCGGGGGAUAACACCUGGAAACAGAUGCUAAUACCGCAUAACAACUUGGACCGCAUGGUCCGAGUUUGAAAGAUGGCUUCGGCUAUCACUUUUGGAUGGUCCCGCGGCGUAUUAGCUAGAUGGUGGGGUAACGGCUCACCAUGGCAAUGAUACGUAGCCGACCUGAGAGGGUAAUCGGCCACAUUGGGACUGAGACACGGCCCAAACUCAUACGGGAGGCAGCAGUAGGGAAUCUUCCACAAUGGACGAAAGUCUGAUGGAGCAACGCCGCGUGAGUGAAGAAGGGUUUCGGCUCGUAAAACUCUGUUGUUAAAGAAGAACAUAUCUGAGAGUAACUGUUCAGGUAUUGACGGUAUUUAACCAGAAAGCCACGGCUAACUACGUGCCAGCAGCCGCGGUAAUACGUAGGUGGCAAGCGUUGUCCGGAUUUAUUGGGCGUAAAGCGAGCGCAGGCGGUUUUUUAAGUCUGAUGUGAAAGCCUUCGGCUCAACCGAAGAAGUGCAUCGGAAACUGGGAAACUUGAGUGCAGAAGAGGACAGUGGAACUCCAUGUGUAGCGGUGAAAUGCGUAGAUAUAUGGAAGAACACCAGUGGCGAAGGCGGCUGUCUGGUCUGUAACUGACGCUGAGGCUCGAAAGUAUGGGUAGCAAACAGGAUUAGAUACCCUGGUAGUCCAUACCGUAAACGAUGAAUGCUAAGUGUUGGAGGGUUUCCGCCCUUCAGUGCUGCAGCUAACGCAUUAAGCAUUCCGCCUGGGGAGUACGGCCGCAAGGCUGAAACUCAAAGGAAUUGACGGGGGCCCGCACAAGCGGUGGAGCAUGUGGUUUAAUUCGAAGCUACGCGAAGAACCUUACCAGGUCUUGACAUACUAUGCAAAUCUAAGAGAUUAGACGUUCCCUUCGGGACAUGGAUACAGGUGGUGCAUGGUUGUCGUCAGCUCGUGUCGUGAGAU
rnacentral:rRNA from 1 species